rnacentral:lncRNA from 1 species
UCAUGACGAUGCAUCGUAUGUGGCCAGGCUUGUCUAUUAAAAAGACAAUUUACACCGGAUGAUAAAGCAUAAUCAAAUUUACAAUUUGUUACUUCAACGGGAGAAAAACAAUAUAAAUAGCCACCUCAUGGAAAGCCCAAAGUACCAAGCCUAAACUACCAAAUACCUCUCACCAAAACUAAUAAUGAGGAAGACCCUUGUUCUUGUUUGUGCUCUCUUCAUCUCCUUCGCUCUUCUCUUCCUUCCUUCCAUUGAAGCUCGAGCACUCCUUCAGAAAGGUGAUCUCUCUCUCCUCUCUCUCUCUCUCUCUCUCUCUCUCUCUCUCUCUCCGUGUUGGUUGAAGAAAUACGAUGAAUCUUCUAUCUGAUAAUCUAAGCAGGACCUGUAAAGAUGCCACCGUGCACAGGACGGAAAGGGAGAUAUACACCGUGCAUACCGUCACCAUCUCCACCAUGUAGUGUUUAUGCACGUGGACCUUGCCCUCCGCUAGUUGGCCCUACGGAGCCAUGAGACCAGGGAGCUAAAUUAAGCCGCUCAUGAUGGCCAAAUUGCAUCAUAGUAUGAAGUAUAUUUCACGGCACCAUCGUCGCAAAGGAAUAAACAAGCGGAGUGAAAUCAGUUACUUGAUGGAGCCUCGUCUUCACGCCCGAAACAUAUUAGGGAUAAAUAUUAUGUAGGAUGCAUUUCAAGGGACAAUGAAACAAUCUGAGAAUCGUUUAGUUUAAGGUAUUGUGUCUUUUAAGGAAAUAAAAGGAAUGGAGACGAAGUCUGUCUCUCAGGUUUCUAUCUUCUUUUCAAAUACCAAUGUAAUAGGUAAUCGAAGUGUAUGUGCAAUGAGGUGCUUGGCUGCAAUCAAUUAUUGAUUAAUUAACUUAUUAGAGUAUUCAAAUACUAUAUCCUACUUUCAUUAGAAAUGCCUGCAUAGUUUCCCUACAAGAAGAAGAUUAUUCUCUACUUCUCCAGGAAGAAGGAGAUGAGAACACUGUUCUUUAAAGAUGCAUGUGCACAUAUAUAUUAUAAGUAAAAUAAUUUCAUUGUAAAGUCUAUACCUGGAGAAAAAUUAUCCAAAAAAAAAAUCAUAAACUCAUUACAUUUUUACCAAUUUAAUCCUAAAUUUUCUCACAUUUUGCUAAUUAAGUCCUAAAUCUUCUCAUGUUUUGCCAAUUUAGUCUAUCCGACGCCGACAUGGCGGCUGGUGUUGACGUGGAUAAUUGUUGGGAAAAUAUUUUGAUUCAUUCAUACUUGUAACAAUUCAAGCAAUCAUUUUUGGGAUUUUUUUUUUCAAAUCAUCUAUUUUCGAUAAAUUAAAUGGAGCCUAACGCAAAGGAAAUGAGGAAUAAAUCCAUGUGACACAGCAUAAAAUCUUUAAGCUUGUCACGCUCGAAUUUAGAAUCAGGUGGAGUGACAACGUGGGGUAAUCCUUGCGAGACAUGUAAUCGUGUAAUCAGAAAAGGCGAAACAACCUUUAUUCCAAAUCCGUUCAUAACAUGAGUAAACGGAAGCUACGGAUACGUGGCGGAGCGACAAAAAGGACAUGACUCCCUCCUCUCCGGUCACUUGCCGAUGCUGUAGGGGUGAGCGGGUCCAGGGUGGGUAGGGUCUAGACCUGGACCCUAUUCCCUACCCUGUUAUAACCGGUUCUCCUUUUUUAGACCAUGUUCCCUACCCUGUUUUCAUAGGACCCUGUUCCCAGCCCACCCUGUUUUUCUGGUCCAGGAACAGGGUUGACCCUAUUUAUAUUGGAACCUGUUUUGCAUAAAAAUUAACCUUAGAAAAGCAAGUCUAGAUGAGUUAUCUGCUGAAACAAAAAGGCCGAACCAAGCACAUCAUUCGACCAAACUCAUUGGGAACAUGUAUAAAAUUUGGACUCCCCUUCAAGAAAACAACCAAGUAUAUAAUUCGACCAUCUCGCAUCCAAACAUGUAUUUCAUCUCCAAAUACAAAAUCAGGUCAGUAUUUCAUCUCCAAAUACAAAAUCAGGUCAUUCUAAUGUCAGAAAUAACAGGAUUGUCCCAAUUCAAACGACAGAAAUAGAAAGAAGCAAGUCCAUAGUCAUAUGUAUGGAGAUCUGAACUUGGAGCUCUUCAUUCUUUCAGAGAAAGGGGCUACCAGUAAGCAAGGCGUCCACGAAAUCCUCAUCCCAUAUUUGCAACCAACCAAGACCUUAUGUUAAUCCACCGACAUGCCCGAAAGAGAUCAAAUUCAACAGUAUAUUCUUGUAUAUAUAUGCAGACACUUCUCCGAAUGGAUUGAACAUAUGACAUGACAAAAGAAGCAAUGCUAAACUAAAAAAAGCGUGUCGACAGGAGCCAGAAGCACGAACAAUGGUAGCAACUUCCUCAUCACACCCACAUCAGAUUAUCAUUGACCAAAGACGAAAUCCAUCAGAAACGAACGAAACAAGGUCGAGCUCGCUCCAGAUCAUCACCCAACAAGCGUUCUAAAAAAUCAGAACUUUCACAUCAGAACUCACACUUAACGACACCGGAUCUCUCUCGACUCAAACACACAGUACGCGACUACCCAGAAGCCCAACCAGCGAGAUCAACCAAACCCACAAAUCCCACGCCAAGAAACGCGAGAUCUCGCGCACAAUAUAUACCGAACCAACCCGGGACACAAAACGACGAGCGACGGCAUCCCACCACCUCGGGAACAUCGACGCAUCGAGAGCCCAUUUCGUCAGCAACGACAAUCGGACAGGGAACAGAAUACGAACGACCAAAACACAACGCAACGCAACGAAACGGCGGAUCUAACUCGAAGCAGGACAAGCGAGGCGGGACCCAAGAACACACGCGAGCGUGCACAGAUUGGAUCGGGACCUGAAUUGGGCAGGACUGACUCGCCGAGCCCGCUCGAGAGAGAGGGUCUGCUGCUCGGGAAAGUUUGCGGGUGUGAGAGCGUGAGAGUAGAAACAAAUUAGGGUUUUGGUCUUUUGGACUUUUGGGCUGCCUUGAAAACCGGUUCUCAAACCGGUUCCCGGGUGGGUAAUUCCUCGGAACCGGUUCCCGGACCGGUUCAAACAGGGUCUGAAUUUUGGGAACCGGUUCCCGGACCGGUUUCAACCGGAACCGGUUCCUGACCCUGUUUUCCGGGUGGGCCGAUCCGAGAACCGGGUUGACCCGGUCCGGUUGCACACCCCUACUCUGCAUGGAAGACGUGCUCCCAAUGCAUCCGAGCGGCCAUAGACUCGGCUCAGAGCUUCUCACAACAGAUCAAAGGAGCCCUUUCAAUCCCAAACUUGCGCUGUAGUUCCCCACCCAGCAAGGAUGGUACAUAUAUGCAAUUAUGGAAUUGUGUUGGACUAUUGGACUAGUAAUCUUUUUGGUCAGUUGGGUUGGAAUUAGGAAAGGGAUUAGGGUCAAAACUGAAGGCUUUGUGAUGACAAAGUGUGGAAAAUUUCAAGGGAAAAUGACAAAUGGACCACUUCUCUUUCUAUCGUGUUUUCAACAUGUGUCGCAAUACCAUUUAGAUUUAUGAGGAUUAAUUGAGUGAAAAGAAAUCAAAUACUCCGUACAGUUAAAAAAGAAGUAAGAAGAAUCAACUGCUUGUGACUUUCAUCUUUUAAUUCAUACUUUAAUCUAAAUUUUUGCCAUUCAGAUCUUCUUAAAAAAUUAUUUCGUAAAACUUUCACAAUACUCAAAUGUUAAUGUGUAAAAAGCAUAAAAAGCAUAAACUUUCACAAUCCUAUCACAAAAUAGUUAUUGUGCUAUAUUUGGUCCUCAUAGUAAUAGCUAUCAUAUAUAGCUGGUCUUGUACCUAUAACAUUGCCUAUUAUAAUUUAUGUUUGAUAAAGAUUUGUAUAAAUCUCCCAUAGUUUCUCUUUUCUCCCCCUUGCUCUGCCUACACUUUAAUAGAAAUCAUUUGUUAGGUUGACGGUAAAAGCAUAAGAUAUUGUUUGGAAAAUUUUUAAAAAAAAAAAUUCUAGGCCUAUUGUGUUUGUUCUAAUUUAAUGUUAAACAUUUUAAUUGUGCCAAUUGAGAUUUAAAUCUUUAGAUAAUUUACCAAUUUACUUAUUUUGGCUAAUUUCGGUAGGAAAUUAAUGACGUGGACAUUGGCCAUCAUAUGUGGCAUGAUUACUACUGACACGGACAAUUUUUGUAAUUUUUUCUCAAUUGAAUUAUUUAAUAAUUUUAUUUUCUUUUAUUUUCUUUAUCUUUAUCUUUGCUUCUUCCUCCACCAAUCGUGAUGGCAGGUGAUCAUCCAAAGGCGAGGGUCACGCUCAUUGAGGCAAGGUUCAAACUCGUCGGCAAGGUCGAUCGGUCCUUGCUAGAUCUAGCGAGGGUACCCUUGCCGGCCCUUGAAGAAGGAAAAAGGAAAAGAAUAAAAAAAUUAAAGAAAAAUCCAAUUUAAAAAAAAUGAAUUCUAAAAAUUGUUCAUAUUAACAUUGGUUGUGCCACGUAGGAGGAACAAUAUGGACAUCAGCAAUUUUCUGUCGAAAUGGUUGGAUGGACUCAAAUGACAAAACGUGAAAAUGUUUAUGAUUUAAUUAUUAUAAGUGUAAGAGAUUUAAAACUUUUCAAGUAAUUUUUCAAAUAUUAUUUAUAUGAAAGUUAUUGGUCUUACGACGAUGCAUCCUAUGUGGCCAAGCUUGUCUAUUAAAAAGACAAUUUACACCGGAUGAUAAAGCAUAAUCAAAUUUACAAUUUGUUACUUCAACGGGAGAAAAACAAUAUAAAUAGCCACCUCAUGGAAAGCCCAAAGUACCAAGCCUAAACUACCAAAUACCUCUCACCAAAACUAAUAAUGAGGAAGACCCUUGUUCUUGUUUGUGCUCUCUUCAUCUCCUUCGCUCUUCUCUUCCUUCCUUCCAUUGAAGCUCGGGCACUCCACACUGGUGAAGUCCUUCCAGGAACUCACCAUCUCUCUCUCUCUCUCUCCCUCUCUCUCUCUAUCUCUCUCUCUCUCUCUCUCUCCAUCAUUUCAAAUUGAUGUGAAUGGUCGAAGAAAUAUGAUAAAUCUUCUAUCUGAUGACGUAAGCAGGACCGGGACAGAAGCCGGCACGUUGCGGACGAAGUAGGGGCAGAUAUACACCAUGCAUACCGCGACCUAAGCCAAAGAAGUGUGGUAUUUAUGAACGUUGCCCUCCGAGAGCUAGUCCUCCAGAGCCAUGAGACCGUGCAGCCAAAGUAAGCCGCUCAUGAUGGCCAAAUUGCAUUAUAAUAAUAUGAGUACUUUUCGCGGCACCGUCGUCAUGAACGAAUAAAGAAGCGAGCGAAGUCAAUUACUCUAAUGGAGACUCGUCGCCACGAGCCAAAUAUAUUAAGGAUGAAUAUUAUGUCGGAUGCAUUUUAAGGUAGGAAACGGUACAGCAAUGGAAAAAACGUUUAGUUCAAGGUAUAGUGCCUUUUGAGGGAAAAAAAAAAGGAAUGGAGACGGAGCUUGUCUCUCAGGUUUCAUCUUCUUCUCAGACUCCUAUCUAAGUGUGUGUGCCAUGAAGUGCUUUCGCUGCGAUCGAUUAUUGUUAAAUGAACUUAUUAGAGUAUUUAAAAUACUAAAUCGUACCUUUAUUAGAGCAGCUGGCCAUAGUUUCCCCCCAAGAAGAAGAUAUAUAUUUCAUUGUAAAGAUGCAUACCUCUAUAUCAAUGUGUACAAUUGUAAUAGAGGGGGUACUUUGUAAUAUUUCUAGAUAUUUGGAGAAUAUGAAAUGAUAUAUCUUCGUUACGCGAUGGAGCAAACGUCACUUCUUAUCAAUUGUUCUUAAGUAUCAUCGAUGCAAUGUUUCUUGGCGACUUUGCGUGAUGAACAUGUAUUCUCUUACGAUUGUUGCGGCUCUUGUCAAUAGAGCUAAUAGUUCAUCGAGUCAUAUCAUAUCCAAAUUAAUUUAAAUAUGAUACUUUCGUGAAACCAAGUAAGAUCCUACACAAUAAUCCGUCAUUUGACAAGUUAAGGAAAUGAUCUCACAUAAAACGCGUAAAAAAUUAUAUUUUAGCUUAUAUUUAUGUCUAAACGAGAGGGUCACUUUGCUAUGGUUAUUAACAUGCAGACCUGUUUGUAACAAAAAUGCGAUGAUCAACAUGCGUAAUUAACUACAUCUUGUGUAUUUGUGUAAAAUGGUCAUAUCGAAAAUUGCUAACCUUACUUAUCAAUAUACCUAAACAAGAACCCAUAUAAAAUGUGGAUGAUAUUAUAUAUAUAUAUAUAUAUAUAUAUAUAUAUAUAUAUAUAUAUAUAUAUAUAUAUAUAUGUUCCAAUUCGUAGCGAGGUUUUCAUGCUUUUCCUUGUAAUAAAUUUAGGGCAACUAUAAACUCUUAGCAAAUUUAUGAGGAGAAGACAAAUUCCAUGACUUAUAAAUUCUAAACUUAGCGAUUUUUUUUUAUUUUUUUAAUUUUUUUUUAGUUUUUGGCUGUAAAAAAAUGAAAAUAAUCUAUGAUUUUAAUUCAAACACUGUAUGAUAAAUUGUUGAUGAACCAUAUACUUUUAUGCAUUUUCGUGCAUAGCCCAGACAUGAUUCUAGUAUCUUCUCCAAUAGGAGAAUUUAUUAGAGUAUGAUCCAUCAGGAAUAGGUAUGCCAUAAGUCAAAUUCACAAUCGCCUUUUUCAUCGACGAGAGUAGUAUCCUUUCGAAACAAAUCCAAUGGAAAUGAGGAAUUAAUUCACAUGAUAGAGAAUAUCCCAAAAAUAAGGAGAAUAAAUUAAAUUAAAAUCUAUAACAUUGUCACAAGCGAAUUUAGAGUCACUUGGUAGAGUGACAACGUGGGCUAAUCUUCUGCGAGAUAUGUAAUCGCGCGAUCGAAAAGGCGACACAAACUUUAUUCCUGAUCCGUUCAUAAGCAUGUGUAAACGGGAGCUACUGAUACGUUGAAUGGUAGGGAAAAGUCAGGAGGAUUAGCUUGGACCAUAAGACGGCAUGGCGGAGCGACGAAGAGGACACGACUCGCUCCUCUCUGACCACUCGCCAAUGCACUUUGUGUGGGCGGCUGCAGACACGGCUCGAAGCUCCUCCCGACAGAUCCAGGAUCACCCUUUCAAUCCCAAUCUUGCGCUGUAACUUCCCCGCCCUGCCUGGCAAGUUCCAAGGCCAUCAUGUCGUCCAACGGCAUCACUGCCGCAACAAGGACUCGAAGACCAGGGGCCGAACCGCUUCCAUUCGGGGACGCCGCAAUUUCUUUAUCAAAAGAAAAGGGAAAAACAACGAGGUCCUCUCUACUUGGAGACCCGGGGCCGUACCGCUUGCAUUCAGGGACUUGUUUUCAGGAUGUAAGAUGGGCAUUGACGGGCUGAUCUAACAACUUGGAUCUUUUACUGGUGAUUUCUUCCAUUAUUAUUCAAUCUUGCCACAUAAUACACGAGGGAGAAGUCUUUGUUCGCUGUUCUUAAAGGCAUAUUAGUCAAGUUUAUGGUAGCAUCUUUUAUCUACAAGACAAUGGAUGGUAGAAUGUGACCAUACUAAAGAUAUGCAUGUAGAAAAUUUAUUCACAUAUACAACUAAUCAAUCAAGAAAAACGGAUCCAUAUAUGAUUGUAAAACACCGAGAUCAAGAAAUACAACGGAAUUGAAGCGUACCUAUUUGAGCCAUUGCUUCACUUGAAUCUAUCGGAAUGCCAGAUCUUCCUCUCUAUGACCUAUUUCAAUAGAUAUAAUCUAUUCUUUUAUAGGCUAGAGAGGAAACCUAGCAAACCCUAAUUAACAGCGUGUCAACUGGACCAUUCUCAUUAUGGGCUUCAGUUAAACACAAUUGCCUACACUUUGCUGCUCAACUAGGCCCGUUAUUAAUAGAUGCCAAUACCAAAUUCAAUCAGAUCACUAUAUGGUUCAACAAAUAUUGGAAUAUCAAUUAACCUGAUUAUUUAAAAUAGAAAAUUAAUUAAUUAAUGUAAGCCCAUAUUUUAGGAAAUUUCCAACAUUCUCCCACUUGGGCUACAUUAAUUACUAGUGAUUUCUUCCAUUAUUAUUCAAUAUUGCCACAUAAUACACGAGGGAGAAGUCUUUGUUCGUUGUUCUUAAAUGCAUAUUAGUCAAGUUUAUGGUAGCAUCUUUUAUCUAAAGAUAUGCAGGGCUAUGGCUAUGACCAUAUGGUGGACAAAUUACUUUGAGUUUGGAUAGUUAAUAAUUCAGAACGGAACUCUCUUUUCUCAUCUUUUUAGUAUAAUUUUUUGGAAUUUGAAGAUACUUUGAAUAUUUCACUGAAUAUUUCUUCUUUCCCGCUCUGACUUGUGCUUUCUACCAAAGACAAUGCAUAAUAGCUUGGCAUCCAGUCCACAAUCAACUACUCACCUGCAAAUUCAAUGAUUUUAGUGUUAACUCUUCAGGACAUCUUUCCUCGGCCAGCUAAUUUAUUAUCAACUUUGAUUGAAUGGCAAAGUUGAUACCUAGAAUAACUUAUGCAGGGCUGGUAUAGAAAAUAUAAUUCAUUUAUUCUUCCGGUGUGAAUGUACAAGCCGCAUUUGGUAUAGUAUCCUUGUGCAAGAUGCGAUUAGGUAGUCUUUAGGAGAAUGGAAUGAGGAACUUCAAUGGAUGAUUAGGACAACAAAGGCCAAAGAUUUGGCUGCGAAACUCCUCAAAAUAUCUUUCCUAGCAACCAUAUAUUUCAUUUGGAUGGAGUGCAACCAUAGACGAUGUCAAAACAAAUCAACUGAUAUCCAUAUUAUUUUGGCUAAGGUGCAUAUAAUGUAAGAGGUAGACCUUCACUUUACCAAAAGAUUGAACCUUCCCAGUCAAAUAUUGUAUUGGCUACCAUGUAGAGACUUCCUACCUCCAUGUUUUUGAAUUAUUUGAUCUAUUUGUAAUGUCGGGGGAUGCCCCUAAGCCGUUGUACUUCAUUUACUCUACAAUACUUACAUAUUAAGCCAAAAAAAAAAAAAAAAAACUUUGACCGAAUGGCUUAAGGUCAAUCUUCACUUCUAAUUUUUCAUGGGCAAAUAAAAGCUAUGCACGCAAAAAGAUGGAAAAGAUAUCUUUAGAGGUUAAUGGCACUUGCUUCAUUUUUCUUUUCUUUUUGCUACUUCUUAUUAUUAUUAUUUUUAAAUUUGUGCAGUUGACAAACCUCAUUAUUCAUAUUCUUAAUUCAACUGAUAUCCAAUUUCACCAAGAAAUAAAGAAGAAAAGCGAUUUCACAUUUCAAGCUGGUUUGUCAAGCGUGCCAUAAAUUAAUCGUUUGUGGUUAAUUGCAAUUAAUUAUUCUAGGAUGGCUACAUUGGUUAAGGCUCUAUUUGGUAACCCCCCCCCCCCCCCCCGGGCUAUUUCUAUUCUUUUGUUCUUUGGAAUGAAAAAAAAAAAUAGAAAUUCCAAAGAACAAAAGAAUAGAAAUCCAUUUGGUAAAAUUUUUGUUCUCGGUAAUAAAAAUUUAUUUUUUUGUUCUUGGGAUAAAUUUUGAACAUAAUUAAGAAGUCGAAAAAAGUUACUUCUUGUUCUUAGGAACAAUUUCAAGAAUCAAGCCUAACUUUAUAUUUUCUCUUUUUUUUUUUCUUUUCUCCUUCUCUCUUCUUCUUCUUCUUCUUCCUUCUAGUCCCAACCGAUGUUGUUGACAAUGGCUAGCAACUGACUGGGCGAGAUCUAGCGAGCUUUUCGAAGGCUCAUUUGGCCAUGAUGAGCCUCGGAUCGGCGAGGCCAAGCGAGGCCAACUUCACAUUGCUUGGGCAAGGUUGGGACUUGCUUGGCCAUCGACGAGGCUCAGCCUCGCCUAGAUUUGGCGAGGCCAAGGCUCGCCUAGCUAGUCACCGGCUGGCGACCGGCCACAAAGAAGGAGAAAGAAAAAGAAAAGAUGAAAAAGAAAAAAAGAGAAAAAAAGAAGAAGAAAAAUAUAGUAAAAGUAUUAAAAAAAUUAAGAAUUCUACCAAACACAUUUCUAUCUCGAGAAUAUAAAUUUUGUACAGUUAUCAAAUACGUUCUUUUGUUCAGAAAUUAUUCUCGGUAACAAAAUAAAAAAAAAAUCAUUUCUAAUAAAAAAUUGUUCUCGGGAAUAUAAUGGUUACAAAACACGCCACAAAUGACUCUUUUUCGCUACAAGGAAGGAAAACUUAGCGUGUGAACUCGAGUCUUACCGACCGGGAUGAAAGAUCAAAGUUGACGAGGACAUAUCACAGCUUGCGAGGGCCCGGAGACAUCAAUUACGGUUCGGGCCAGGUUUCAUUUUUUUUUUUUUCCUUCUUUUUCUUUCCUUCGUGCUCUUGGUCGCGGCAACAGCUCCAAAAAAUGGAAUGCCAUGGACGGAUCUUGGGAUCCGCCGCCACAAGGAUGGAUCCUGAAAUGCUUAUCUGCCACGUACGGGUUCAGCCCUUGAAAUACUUCCAGAACUUUGAGGCCAUGUUGAAGAAAGUCUGUCUGAUCUAACCAGCCGUCCCGGUUCAUCUCGUUCCGCAAACAGCAUUUAGCAUCUCGUGUGCAAGUCUGCAGAAUAUUUUGUCACCCCAAAUGUUCAAUUUAAGAAGCCUUGCUCCUACACCGAGAGCAGUGUUGGUAACAUGGUUCCACCUUGUUCAACCCCGCUAAAUCUUCAGUACUCUGACGCCGCGCACUCAACCCUUUUUAUUUGAUUUCAAAUCGUGUUCAUAUAUGUACAGAAGGUAGAUACGUUUUUCAUGAAGCAGGGGAAAGUAAGGUGUUUGAUUUUUGUUUUUCCCUUUUCUGGAUGUUUCCCGUUGCAUUUUCCAGAAUCUGUGGCGCUGAGAAUAAUAGAUGCGCAAUAGGGAAGAAGAAGAAGCACAAAAAAGAGAAACCUGAAACCCAGCUCAGCUGAAAUGAUCAUGGUUCGAGUCACAUUUGGUUCAAGUCAAAACAUGCACGCAUCUCAUAUUGUUUGGUUCAAUUUGGGUAUCAUGGAAAUUCGAUCUGAACCUUAGACACCCCUAAUACAAGCAACUUGCAAUGACUUUGAAGUACAUUGAAUUAGGCAUUUGUAGAUGAUGAAUCUAUUUGUUAAUGACAUAAGUGGUCCACAUCUCAUUCUGGCAUAGCUUAAUGUGUAGGACACGGUACAGACCCCUUGCAAUUACUCUCUCUCUCUCUAUAUAUAUAUAUAUAUAUUUGGCAUUGUUUACGGUGACUUUGAAGUCAAUUGAAUUUGGAAUUGUAAAUGAUGGAUCUUUUUUGAUAAUGACAUAAGUGGACUGCAUUUCAUUGGCCUUUAUUCAUUAUCUCUAAUUCUUCGGGAAAAGAGAGAUGAGAACAAUUUUUUCAGAGAUGCAUACUUGUAUAUCUUUUUUAUUUAUCAGCAAAACUAUAUAUCAACGUGCACAAUUUAGGAGAAGGAAAUUAGAAAUAUUGAGAAUUAUGUACAAUGCUCAAUUUAAUGUUAAAAAUUGUGGUCGAUUUAUUUAAGUGCCAAAUCAAAGAAAAAAUAGCCACUUAGAUACCUUCGAUGACCGACCAAGAAAAAAAAAAAAAACCUUUGGCGAGAAAUUCAGGCUGACAUUUUUUAAAAAUAAAAACCAGUCCACGGGGGUGGAUAAUUGUGUAAAAUGAGGUAGUUCCCUUUCACCAUCGUCUACACCACUGCCUAUGGAGCCACCACCCACCAUGCUUAGCACCGCCACCUCCUCCAUACCUUGACGAAUUUGGCGAGCGCGGCGAGAGCGUUGACGUCAACUCAUCAAUCUCCUUCGAGAACCCUUGCAUUCACGACGCCUUCGGUGCUCCAAUCCCUGAAGCAGGCCAUCAUCACCGACCCCAACAACUUCACCGCCAAUUGGAUUGGGCCCUUGCCUUCGUUGCUUGCUUUCCGUUAUCGGUCAUGACAGUGAUAAGGUUUGCGAUCGAGAAAACCACAGUAGAGAGCCCAAAAAUAUGCACCACUAACCUCACGAAAAAAAAAAAAAAAAAUCCUCUCUCGAGGAGUUUGAGAAGUUUCUAUCAUUGGCAAUCCUUCUCCAUCACUUUUUGAACGUCGUAACCAUUGCUGAUUGAUCUGUUCACUGCCUUCAAGUUUUACCGACUAAGCCUCUAUUCUACUCUGUUUUUCUGAUUAGAGUGACCGAGGUGCUUUGCGUUUGCCUGAUCCUUCUUCGUCGGCGCCGAUCACCAUCAUCGAUGCCUCUAGUUGAUCCCGUUUGUGAUCAACAAUCGCACCUUCAAGGCCAUGUCCACCACCGCACAUAAAUACUUUGUUCUGCCCUGCUUCUUGGCCAAGGAUUGUGAAGUGCCUUAGGCUCGUUCAUUACUCCCUCAAUGGCUUCAAUCUCCGUCAUCCGCAUUUCCAGGAGUUUUUUUUUUUUUUUUCCUAACAUGACUACUGUGAGAUUUUGGUAGGACUACAAUCAAUAAUUAUAAAAGCUUAAGUUUUUAAAUGAAUGUAUAGUUUAAUAUUUAAUUACUCUAACACUCCCCUCACAUUUAAUUUAGUCUUUUUUUCCUAGUAUUAAGCGUGAAUAUAUUAAGCUUUUAGAACAAUCGAUUAUGAUUCCACCAAAUCUCACAUGGUAUCAGAGUAAGAGGUCUUCAAUUCAAAUCUUCCCAGGCUCCCAUAUGCCUCUCCAAUUUAAUAUUUCCAUGACUAGUAUUAAGCAGAAAAAAAAAAAAAAACCAAACUAAGCGUAAGGGGAAGUAUUAUAAUAUUUAAAUAAUAAAUCACGUCUUCAUCCAACAGCUUAAAUUUUUAAAAUAAUUGAUAGUGGUCAUAAAAAAUCUUAUAAUUAUCAACUGCAACUAGGAUUUGCUUCAUUAACAAGGUAAUAUCUCGUCCUCAAUUCUGGUAAGCGAGAGACCGAGAAGAUGAUUUAGGCUUUCCAUUUUGAGGCAAAACACAUAGACGAUGUUGUUUUGGGCUAUAAAUGAUAAUCAGGCACUUCAACUAGUCACAUUGGAGGGAGAAAUUAAUAAAAAAAAAUGAUUACGUCAAAUUUCCGAUUACAAUGGUAAUUAAGUGAUCAUUUUUUUAAGUGACACUUAAGUGCUUUAGAUUUUUUUUAUUAUUAUUAUAGUGAUUGUUGUAUAUAACUUUUGACAUUUUUUUAAGUAAUUCUCUAGCAUGGUUGUAAUCGUGGGGGCCUUUGCAAUUUUUCACAUAAUUAAAAAUAUUGAACAAUAUAUUUUUGUUACGAGGAAAAGCAAAGAAAGAUGGGGAUAAUUAUUCUCGGAUGUUAAGAUUGGCGCACCGACUCCUUUUCACUCGCGAGGUAUUACGGCGUGGACUCAGGUCUUUCCCAGCCGGGACGAAAGAUCAAAGUUGACUUGGACAUGACAAGUCGUGGGUGGUAGGACACCAAUUUUAGUGCCCUCACUCAUAGAGACUACUAUAUCUACAUAUCUAAUGGUAGUUAGAAUCAAAAUCCUAACGUGGUGUCUAUUUUCAUUAUCGUGAGGCCUCUAAAUUUCCUAUCUAUUUUUGUAUUCCCGAUAGAGAGGGAAUACGGAAGUGACAUUACAGGGUCUUCCACCCCAAAGCAGUUCUCCUGCCUGUUUCUUCCUCUUGAGCAUUUUCAAGACUUGCCCGGAUUGUAGGAACCUAUCUUACGUAACACCCAAAAAUAAAAUAAAAUGAAGAUGUAUUCAUAGUAAUUGCAAUAAUUAUUCUCGGACGUCAAGAUUGGCGCACCGACUCCUUUUCACUCGCAAGGUAUUAUGGCGUGGACUCAAGUCUUCCCCGGCCGAGAUAAAAGAUCAAAGUUGACUUGGACAUGACAAGUCUUGGGCGCUAGGACACAUCAAUCUCAGUGCCCUCACUUAUCCCAUAUUUGGGAGACUAUUAUAUCCACAUAACCAACGGUAGUUAGAACUGAAGUCCCGAUAUGAUGUCUACAUUUACCAUUACGAGGCUUCUAAAUUUUUUAUCUAUUUUUGUAUUCCUAAUAGAGAGAGAAUACAGGGGCGAAAUUAUGGGGUCUUUCACACCCUAGGGUGGUUCUCCCGCCUAUUUCUUUUCUUUGAGUUUUUUAAGGACUUGUUCACAGAUUGUAGAAACCUAUCUUACGUAAUACCCAAAAAAAAUAAAAAAUGAAGAGGUAUUCGUAGUAAUUGCAUAAUUAUUCUCGGAGGUCAAGAUUGGCGCACAGACUCCUUUUCACUCGCUAGGUAUUACGGCGUGGACUCAGGUCUUCCUCAGCCGGGACAAAAGAUCAAAGUUGACUUGGACAUGACAAGUCAUGGGCGCUAGGACACAUCAAUCUCAGUGGACCGGAAAACGUCCUUUCAAUCAUCGAUUCACCCGAUACAUAUGAGCUCUCCGUAUCCCCUAAAUUACGUCGAUAUGGGGCUAAGUCAAUUGACAAAAUCACACGGUGUGUGAUGUCCACAUCAAUCAUCCCGUGGCUCGUGGAAAGCCACGUACUACUCCUAUGGUGAAGAUAAUGCCAUUUUUAACCUAGCUAAGUUCAUCCUGUUGGAAGCACUAUAAAUUAGGCCACAAUCCAGUCUUCCCAAUAAUUUCUCUUGAUUAAAUGACUCUUUUUCGCUGUGAGGAAGGAAAAUUUUUAAGCAUGAAUUCAAGUUGUGAUGUCCUGAAAUUGGAGUCUUUUUAAAGGAUGAAUGAAAUACAUUAUUAGUUGUUCUCACUCGAAAUUAAUCACUCCCGAGAUACUGAUUUUGAGCGGAAAGGCUAAUGAGGAUAAAACUUAUGCGACUAAAGAACUUAACUUGAGAAAACGAUUUGACCGUGAAAUUUGCGUGAAGACGAUCUUGUAGAUAGACAGGCCAUAUGACUUUCAUCUUUUAAUUCAUACUUUAAUUUAAAUAUUUGCGAUUCAUAUCUUCUUAAAACUUUCACAAUACUCAAAUGUUGAUGUGUAAAAAGCAUAAAUAAUUUUUUUUUGUAACUAUGUUUAAUAUGAAUAAUAAUUCUAAAGUUGGCAAUAUAUGUCAUUUUCUAUAGGAAGUUGCGGGGUUAGCGACGAUAUCACCUUCUCCGCCUCAUUAAAAAUCUCUUACUCCUUGGCGUUAUCCAAUGAGAAUAUUUGGAGUUGCUUUUAAGACCAUGACCAAUCUUGGCAAGGUACCAUUAUGGUCACUUGAUGCUUGGAUUUUUGCGUCACAUGAUACUCGACAACUCGCAAUGACUUUGGAGUCAACUGAAUUUGGCAUUUGUAGACGAUGUAUCAAUCCGAUUGAGACACAUGUGGCUUAGAACAUUUUGGAUUUAGAACAUUUUUCUUUCUUUAUUGACUCGUAAGGACUUGGGGGUCAACUUGCUAACGAGGUCUAUGCACCCCACAAUCAUGUGAUAAUGCUAAAGGUGCCGUUAGUUAUAGCAAUGUCUAUUAUUUGCACCACAAUCCUAUCACAAAAUAGUUAUUGUGCUAUAUUUGGUCCUCAUAGUUAUAGCUAUCAAAUAUAGCUGGUCUUAUACCUAUUACAUUGCCUAUUUUAAUUUAUGUUUGAUAAAGAUUUGUAUAAAUCUCCCAUAGUUUCUCUUUUCUCCCCCUUGCUCUGCCUACACUUUAAUAGAAAUCAUUUGUUAGGUUGACGGUAAAAGCAUAAGAUGUCAUUUGGAAAAAUUUUAAAAAAAAUUCUAGGCCUAUUGCGUUUGUUCUAAUUUAAUGUCAAACAUUUCAAUUGUGCCAAUUGAGUUUUAAAUCUUUAGAUAAUUUAUCAAUUUACUCAUUUUGGCUAAUUUCGGUAGGAAAUUAAUGACGUGGACAUUGGCCAUCAUAUGUGGCAUGAUUACUAUUGACACCGACAAUUUUUGUAAUUUUUUCUCAAUUGAAUUAUUUAAUAAUUUUUUUUUCUUUAUCUUUCUCUUUCCUUCUUCCUCCACCAGUCGUGAUAGCAAGUGAUCAGCCAAAGGCGAGGGUCGCGCUCAUUGAGGCGAGGCUCAAACUUGUUAGUGAGGUCGAUCGGUCCUUGCUAGAUCUAGCGAGGGUACCCUCACCGGCCCUUGAAGAAGGAAAAAGAAAAAGAAAAGAAAAUUAAAAUUUUCUGAUUUAAAAAAAAAUUACAAAAAUUGUUCAUAUUAACAUCAGUUGUACCACAUAGGAGGAACAAUAUGAACAUUAACAAUUUUCUAUCGAAAUGGUUGGAUGGACUCAAAUGACAAAACGCGAAAAUGUUUAGGAUUGAAUUGUCACAGGUGCAAAAGAUUUAAAACUUUUUAAGUAAUUUUCCAAAGAUCAUUUAUAUGAAAGUUAUUGGUCUCACGACUAUGCAUCCUAUGUGGCCAAGCUUGUCUAUUAAAAAGACAAUUUACACCGGAUGAUAAAGCAUAAUCAAAUUUACAAUUUGUUACUUCAACGGGAGAAAAACAAUAUAAAUAGCCACCUCAUGGAAAGCCCAAAGUACCAAGCCUAAACUACCAAAUACCUCUCACCAAAACUAAUAAUGAGGAAGACCCUUGUUCUUGUUUGUGCUCUCUUCAUCUCCUUCGCUCUUCUCUUCCUUCCUUCCAUUGAAGCUCGGGCACUCCACACUGGUGAAGUCCUUCCAGGUGAACUCACCAUCUCUCUCUCUCUCUCCCCCUCUCUCUCUAUCUCUCUCUCUCUCUCUCUCUCUCCAUCAUUUCAAAUUGAUGUGAAUGGUCGAAGAAAUAUGAUGAAUCUUCUAUCUGAUGACGUAAGCAGGACCGGGACCGCCGGCACGUUGCGGACGAAGUGGGGGCAGAUAUACACCGUGCAUACCGCGACCUAAGCCAAAGAAGUGUGGUAUCUAUGAACGUUGCCCUCCGGGAGCUAGUCCUCCAGAGCCAUGAGACCAUGCAGCCAAAGCAAGCCGCUCAUGAUGGCCAAAUCGCAUGAUAAUAAUAUGAGUACUUUUCGCGGCACCGUCGUCGCGA